GAUGAAGAACGUAGCGAAAUGCGAUAAGUAAUGCGAAUUGCAGGAUUCCGUGAGUCAUCGAAUCUUUGAACGCACAUUGCGCCCUCUGGUAUUCCGGAGGGCAUGCCUGUCUGAGCGUCAUUGUCAACCCUCAAGCUCAGCUUGCUGUUGGGUCCCCGUCGUUGCUUUAACGGCGGACCCGAAAGGUAAUGGCAGAGUCCGUGAGACCCUAGACGCAGCGAGCUUCUAGCACGCGUCUGGACGUUUUUCGGGCUCGGUCUUAACUAGAUGAUAACUUCCGAUUGACCUCAGAUCAGGUAGGGAUACCCGCUGAACUUAAGCAUAUCAAUAAGCGGAGGA
rnacentral:misc_RNA from 1 species